rnacentral:lncRNA from 1 species
AAUUUCUUCUUCUUUAUGGGAUUUUGAAGAUUCAUAGAUUGAAGCCCAUUUGAUCUAUGGUUUAUGGAGGUGAUCCCCUACUGUGAAUUCACUAUUUCCAUUUUAUUAGACUCAAUAAUACUGUAGAUCACUGCAAAUUUGAUGUUGAAGAAUUUCCCUAUAUUUGUUAUAGGGACAUGAGUACAGUUUGAUGCUGAAUGAGGCGUAUGGGGUUCUGGCAUGGGAAGAUCUCAGAAGAGAGUAUGAUGCUUCAAUCGGCCAAAUGAGAGUGGGGUUUUGGGGAAGCUUUUCUGGCUUGGGUUACCGUUCAUGGAAAGGCCCCUUAAGACCCCAAGCAUCUAUAGGUAGGGAUUAAAGGCUCAUAAUUUGAUUGUGAGGGGAGGGGGGGAGGGGAGAGCGGCGGCGGGCGCUUACAAGCUUAUCAUCUUCUGGAAUUUCAUCUAAUUUUUCGAUAUUCUUGACAGGUAGCAGAGAAUGCGUCCACCAUGCAGGUAACACUUUUGUGAUGGUAGAUGCUCUUGGGUGUGCAAGAGUCAAAGUUCGGUAUGGAGAUGAUGACAAGAAAAUUGAGGUAUCACACUUGCCAAUAGGCCAUUGAACACAGUUUGGACAUUGGAUAAUAAGGCAAUCAGUACAUGUAAACUAACCUGUUGGGUGACUUGGGAUCUUGCAGGUUUGGGUUGAUUCAUGCCUAGUAAACUGGAUUCACUGGGUGGAUAGGGAAGAGUUAGCAAUACUAAAGUUCCUGAUUCAGCCUCAACCUCAGGAAGGCUAUGGUGUUUUUGGAGGAGGAUGGGAAAGACCUGCAAUUGUUUUCAUGGCAGCCAAGCCCUCCAAAAAGCGGCCCAAUCAGCAGGAUGACUACAAUCGAAUGAAUGGUAAUUACAGUCACCUUAUUGUUUUUUUUUCUUAGUGAAGAGCAGAUUUUCUUUUGCACUGACUCCUGCUCUGUUUUCCACAAAUACUGCUGAAAUUGCAGCAUCCAGAGAAGAAAAGACUUCCAAUUCAUUUGUGGAAAAAGUGAAGGAAAUUGUCAGUAGUCGUGUUGCUUUUCUGGUGGGACUCGUCUCAGAAAAAGGAAAAUGAAGAGUAAAUAUACAAGAUAUGUAAAGAGGAGAGCAUGUAGAAGCUGGGUUUAGAGUUAAAAUCAACUCACAAUUGUGUAAAUAUUAUCCGUUCUGAUCUAUAAUAUCUUUAUGGUUUUAAAAAUUAUUUAUAAGGUUUAAGAAAACUUAUACACAUAGCAUUACCGACGUUUUUAAGAAACUCAUACAUAUAUAACAUUAGGAACAGUUUCCUUAUUUGAUAUGGAAUCCAUAUUUAUAGAAUUAUAUGCUUAUAAUUUGUAGUAUGUAUAUAAUGUACUAUAUUUGGUAAUAUGCUUGUAUAUAUAAUUUCGAGAAACGAUGGAGAUUGUCUCCAACACUUAAUUUCAUCAUAAAAAUUUGAAAAAAGGAAUGAUCAAACACAAGUUUCAUCAAUAUGAGCUUCAUCACUAUCGAAGGCAAUGAAGGCCAACAAGCUUCGGUAUUAGAAUGCUUUGAGUUCAAUAUCUCACAAUUUCGAACAAAUCAGGCCUUGAGUUCUAUAUAUUCAGUAUAUUCUCUCAUGCAUAGGGAAGAUUUGGUUAAAAAAAUUUCAGACAGAUCUGAAACUGCUGCUUCUCAGUAGUGAAAAUCAACUUGCCCAGAUUUACUGACUUGCUUCUUAAGAACCUGAGAAGGCCAGCCCCAGCUCAAUAUCCUUGGAUGGUGUCUUCAGAGAAGAAUUGUUCCUGAAUGCCGUCAUUUUUCCAUGUCUCCAAAUCUCUAAUGUCGUUAUCGGUCACUCGAAAAACCUUAUCUCCAUGAGAGAUCCUGAACUCAACAACAGCCAGUGAAGGAACCACCUUGGUUGUUCCGGUAUAAAAAACAACAGUAUAUCACUUACUUUUUUUUUUUGGGUCCAAGGGUCUUUCUAUAGUUUAAAAAAUGCAUCAUCAAUCGAUCGAUGUAACGUAUGCAUCUUCAGGUUUAAGUCAACCUAGUCACAUAUGCAUCUUCACCUAAAUUUAAAAAAAAAAAAAUCAUAUAGAGAAAUUUGAACCCUAAAUAAAGAAUUCCUUUAUUACCACCACACUAAUAGUUAGAUGUUGCCCCCUAAGUCAUUUGCUUGCUCCACCACUGCUUCGGGUCCUUUUGGUUUUGUGUUUUGACUAUGUGUCUGAGUUCUUGUACUUUGCUUUCAUGUAUUUGCAUCAUUCUUCAAUUAUCUAAUUUUUAUCAUAUUGUAGUAUGUAGUUCAUAUUGAGUGAAAGAUGUACGAAGAAAAAAGGGCAAAUAUUAGAGUGUAGCGAGUUCAAGGGUAUUUUUGAAAUUUCAUUAUCGGAAGAUUAGUAUAAAUACCCUUUUAUGUAACCUUAAUUUGAUACAUAAUGAAAGUUUUCUUUCCUAUUCUCGUGGACGUAGGCAAUAUGCCGAACCACGUUAAAUCUGUAUGUUUUUUUGCUUUUCAUUUUCUCUAAUUUUUACCAUAAAUCAUUGUACAUAAAUCAACAUAUCAUAUAUUUGAUAAUCUAAAUAGAGGGAUUCGUUAGUGAUAUUUUCCUAUAGUCCAAGAUGAAUAAAAUGAAAUGAGAGCCAGGCCUGUGGGCACAAGAGAGAAGAAACGGAGAAAGUAAAGUUUUGCCGUUUUUGCCUUGUUGGACCAAGACCAAGACAGAGCCAUCCGCAGUUUCAUCUGUUCUGUUUCAAACGAUAAAACGCAGCGUUUUGCCUCCACCUCCUACGUCCAUGUCAGAGAUGGAUAUUUAUCUUUUCCUUCCCUGAAAGACCCACACCACUCUUAUCAUUAGAAAACUAGAAACAGUAUGUGGGUCUCUGAAGUCUCACUUCACCAUUUCUCAUUGCCAAACUCUUCCCAAUUCGACAUCCCAAACAACCUCACCACAAGGUACGUACGUGGCUCUUCUUCUGUCAAUGGAUGCUUCUAUAAACAUAAGAAAUGUUGUAAUUCAUGUUGAUUUAAAUUUCUCUUAAAUUCUAAUGGGAUUGUGUUGAAGAUGGAGGCACAAGUUCACUUCAGUAAGGUGCAGUAGCAGAAGUGAUGGUCAAAGUGCAAGAACAAGGAAGAGUUACUAUGAGUUGCUUGGAGUUUCUGUUGAUUCAAAUCCCCAGGAGAUCAAAGAAGCUUACAGGAAGCUUCAAAAGAAAUAUCACCCAGAUGUUGCAGGCCAAAAGGUCAUUUCUUUUUUCGAGUUAGAAAUUCAACUUCUUUUUCUUUAUGGGGUUUUGAAGAUUCAUAGAUUUAAGUCCAUUUCAUUUCCACCAUUUGACUCGAUAGUACUGUAAAUCACUGCAAAUUUGAUGUUGAAGAAUUUCCCUAUAUUUGUUAUAGGGACAUGAGUACAGUUUGAUGCUGAAUGAGGCGUAUAGGGUUCUGGCAAGGGAAGAUCUCAGAAGAGAGUAUGACGCUUCAAUCGGCAAAAUGAGAGUGGGGUUUGGGGGAAUCUUUUCUGGCAUGGGUUACAGUGCAUGGAAAGGCCCCUUGAGACCCCAAGCUCUGUUUGUUGAUGAAAAUAAAUGCAUAGGUUGGGAUGAAAGGCUCAUAAUUUGUUGG